rnacentral:rRNA from 1 species
UUAGAGUUUGAUCCUGGCUCAGGAUGAACGCUGGCGGCGUGCCUUAGGCAUGCAAGUCGAACGGUCCCGCAAGGGACAGUGGCGGACGGCUGAGUAACACGUAGGAACCUACCCUGAAGUGAAGGAUAGCUCGCCGAAAGGCGGGGUAAUACUGCAUGUGAUCGCAAGAUCAAAGAGCUUAACUGCUCGCUUCAGGAGGGGCCUGCGGCCUAUCAGCUAGUUGGUGAGGUAAUGGCUCACCAAGGCUAUGACGGGUAGCUGAUCUGAGAGGAUGACCAGCCAGAAUGGAACUGAGAACGGUCCAUACAUCUACGGAUGGCAGCAACCGGGAAUCGUCGGCAAUGGACGAAAGUCUGACCGCGCGACGCCGCGUGUAGGAUGAAGGCCUACGGGUUGUAAACUACUCAAUUUCAAGCUAUAGCAAGAAAGGAUGAAGUCGCUGCUAACUACGUGCCAGAAGCCUCGGUAAUACGUAGGCGACAAGCGUUAUCCGGAUUUACUGGGCGUAAAGCGAGUGUAGGUGGUUUUUUAAGUCUUUUUUGAAAUCGUUCCGCUCAACGGGACUCACGGAAAGGAUACUGAAAAACUAGAGUCAUAUAGGGACAACUGGAACUCUCGGUGUAGGGGUGAAAUCCGAUGAUAUCGAGAGGAACACCAAGGGCGAAGGCAGGUUGUUGGAUAUGUACUGACACUGAGACUCGACCGCUAGGGGAGCGAAAGGGAUUAGAGACCCCUGUAGUCCUAGCCGUAAACUAUGAGUGCUAGAUGUUGUCGCCGUAGGCGACAGUGUCGUAAGCUAACGCGUUAAGCACUCCGCCUGGGGAGUACGGCCGCAAGGCUAAAACUCAAAGGAAUUGACGGGGAGGAGCACAACCAGUGGAGCGUGUGGUUUAAUUCGAUACGAAGCGAAAAACCUUACCAAGACUUGACAUGUAUUUUACACUUUUGCCGAAAGGUGAAAGUUCAACGGAUACACAGCUGCUGCAUGGCUGUCGUCAGUUCGUUCCGUGAGGAGUUCCCUUAAGUGGGGUAACGAACGCAACCCCUGCUGUCUGUUACAAGUGUCAGACGGGACUGCCUGCGUCAAACGCAGGAGGAAGGAGGGGCAGACGUCAAGUCAGCAUGGCGCUUAUGUCUUGGGCAACACACACCCUACAAUGGAGCCGACAAAGGGCUUGUGAAACGGUAACGUGGAACUAAUCCCAUCAAACGGCUUCCCAGUUGGGAUUGAGGGCUGAAAUUCGCCCUCAUGAACUAGGAAUUGGUAGUAAUCGCGAAUCAGAAGGUCGCGGUGAAUACGUUCUCUCCUCUUGUACACACCGCCCGUCAAGGCAGCAAAGUUGGUAAUGGCCGAAGCCCCGUGCUUGCACGGGAUUAAGCUAGGACCAGCGAUGAAGCUUAAGUCGUAACAAGGUAACC